rnacentral:rRNA from 1 species
UACGUAGGGUGCAAGCGUUGCUCGGAAUCACUGGGCGUAAAGGGUGCGUAGGCGGGUCUUUAAGUCAGGGGUGAAAUCCUGGAGCUCAACUCCAGAACUGCCUUUGAUACUGAGGAUCUUGAGUUCGGGAGAGGUGAGUGGAACUGCGAGUGUAGAGGUGAAAUUCGUAGAUAUUCGCAAGAACACCAGUGGCGAAGGCGGCUCACUGGCCCGAUACUGACGCUGAGGCACGAAAGCGUGGGGAGCAAACAGG